CAGCGCCACAAGUGGCAAUCACGUUUAUUGGGCCUAAAGCGUCCGUAGCCGGUUUAGCAAAUCUUUUGUGAAAUCGUCAGGCUUAACUUGACGAAUUGCAGAAGACACUACUAAACUAGGGACUGGGAGGAGUCAGAAGUAUUCUGGGGGGACCGGUAAAAUGGUAUAAUCCCCAGAGGACUACCGAUGGUGAAGGCAUCUGACCAGAACAGAUCCGACGGUGAGGGACGAAAGCCAGGGGAGCAAACCGGAUUAGAGACCCGAGUAGUCC
rnacentral:rRNA from 1 species